CUCGUUCGGGCACGUUUCGAAAGGAACGCUAAUACCGCAUACGUCCUACGGGAGAAAGCAGGGGACCUUCGGGUAUGGCGCUAUCAGAUGAGCCUAGGUCGGAUUAGCUAGUUGGUGGGGUAAAGGCCUACCAAGGCGACGAUCCGUAACUGGUCUGAGAGGAUGAUCAGUCACACUGGAACUGAGACACGGUCCAGACUCCUACGGGAGGCAGCAGUGGGGAAUAUUGGACAAUGGGCGAAAGCCUGAUCCAGCCAUGCCGCGUGUGUGAAGAAGGUCUUCGGAUUGUAAAGCACUUUAAGUUGGGAGGAAGGGCAGUAAGUUAAUACCUUGCUGUUUUGACGUUACCGACAGAAUAAGCACCGGCUAACUCUGUGCCAGCAGCCGCGGUAAUACAGAGGGUGCAAGCGUUAAUCGGAAUUACUGGGCGUAAAGCGCGCGUAGGUGGUUCGUUAAGUUGGAUGUGAAAGCCCCGGGCUCAACCUGGGAACUGCAUCCAAAACUGGCGAGCUAGAGUAUGGUAGAGGGUGGUGGAAUUUCCUGUGUAGCGGUGAAAUGCGUAGAUAUAGGAAGGAACACCAGUG
rnacentral:rRNA from 1 species